UAAAAUCGGAAAGUAGCACCUUGUUCAUGUAGUAAUUAGAUCAAGACUUUGCUUUCUGGUGGUUGCUUGAUCUCCUCUGACUCCGUCUUGUCUCUUUCUCGAGAAAAAUCAAUCCAGCGCAAGGAUUUUCGUGGAGCCCUGAAGUGAAGAUCGCCGUAGAUCAGAACCGUUGGAGUCGGGGCAGGGGGGCGGCCGCCCCGGGCCCCCGACGGGCCCCCAAGUCUGCCAGUUAAUAUGACUGGGCCUGUGCUAAUACAGUUUGUAAAAUGUUAUAACUGGGCCUACUUUACCUGCACUGGUUACGUUUUGGAGAGAUCCAUCGACCAGGGAUCAAGAGCGGAUUUUGCGGCGUAACGUGGGGGAGUGAUUUCGUGGGUUUACAUCACGCACGAUGACAAUCGCCUGCAGGCUGUUCGCCUUUUUUUAGGCCAAUCGCCUUAAAACCUCAUCGCCAGCAGGCUGCGGCGGCCGGAUGGCAGGGGAUUGCAGACGCGAGACAACCACACCUCACCGUGGCACCGCCGCCGCAGCAGCUCCAGCCUACGCCUCAUCACCGCCGCUGAUGUGAGAGGUGUCCUAUAUCUUAACGAUUUUGUCCUAACUUAUGCCCAGCUUUUUUGCUCCCUAUAACUACGACUCAUCAAGGCUUGAAGGGUCGGUACAGGGUUGAGUUUACUGGGUUGCUUGCCGGACCGCCGAAUCCAGCCGACGGCAGAUUGAGAUCCAGCCUUGUUGUGGACAAGUAACUGAUGAAGAGUACAGUGACUGACCCCCUUCUUCACACCGUCCAAUGAAGGAUCAAACAAUACAUGAUCUAUGGCCAACUCCACCGCGUGAUGAGAACAUCAAUACCAUUGUUACACCCACAACCCCUACUGUUACAUACACUGGACCAAUUACUAGAGCUCGCGCACGCCAAUUAAAUUACCAGGGCCUAGCUUGGAGAAGG